rnacentral:sRNA from 1 species
CCCUAGCCCUGAUGGAAGCGGCAUCCUUUUGUCUCGUUUUUUCAACGAGACAAAAGAUACAGCGGACAGCAGGAAACAGC